GGAAGGGGUGUAUUUAUUAGAUAAAAAACCAAUGCCCUUCGGGGCUCUCUGGUGAUUCAUAAUAACUUCUCGAAUCGCACGGCCUUGCGCCGGCGAUGGUUCAUUCAAAUUUCUGCCCUAUCAACUUUCGACGGCUGGGUCUUGGCCAGCCAUGGUGACAACGGGUAACGGAGGGUUAGGGCUCGACCCCGGAGAAGGAGCCUGAGAAACGGCUACUACAUCCAAGGAAGGCAGCAGGCGCGCAAAUUACCCAAUCCCGACUCGGGGAGGUAGUGACAAUAAAUACUGAUACAGGGCUCUUUUGGGUCUUGUAAUUGGAAUGAGUACAAUUUAAAUCCCUUAACGAGGAACAAUUGGAGGGCAAGUCUGGUGCCAGCAGCCGCGGUAAUUCCAGCUCCAAUAGCGUAUAUUAAAGUUGUUGAGGUUAAAAAGCUCGUAGUUGAACCUUGGGCCUAGCCGGCCGGUCCGCCUCACCGCGUGCACUGGCUCGGCUGGGCCUUUCCUUCUGGAGAACCGCAUGCCCUUCACUGGGUGUGUCGGGGAACCAGGACUUUUAC
rnacentral:rRNA from 1 species